AAAAGAAAUCAACCGAGAUUCCCCCAGUAGCGGCGAGCGAACGGGGAGCAGCCCAGAGCCUGAAUCAGUGUGUGUGUUAGUGGAAGCGUCUGGAAAGGCGCGCGAUACAGGGUGACAGCCCCGUACACAAAAAUGCACAUGCUGUGAGCUCGAUGAGUAGGGCGGGACACGUGGUAUCCUGUCUGAAUAUGGGGGGACCAUCCUCCAAGGCUAAAUACUCCUGACUGACCGAUAGUGAACCAGUACCGUGAGGGAAAGGCGAAAAGAACCCCGGCGAGGGGAGUGAAAAAGAACCUGAAACCGUGUACGUACAAGCAGUGGGAGCACAGAGCAAUCUGUGUGACUGCGUACCUUUUGUAUAAUGGGUCAGCGACUUAUAUUCUGUAGCAAGGUUAACCGAAUAGGGGAGCCGAAGGGAAACCGAGUCUUAACUGGGCGUUAAGUUGCAGGGUAUAGACCCGAAACCCGGUGAUCUAGCCAUGGGCAGGUUGAAGGUUGGGUAACACUAACUGGAGGACCGAACCGACUAAUGUUGAAAAAUUAGCGGAUGACUUGUGGCUGGGGGUGAAAGGCCAAUCAAACCGGGAGAUAGCUGGUUCUCCCCGAAAGCUAUUUAGGUA
rnacentral:rRNA from 1 species